CAUAAUAUAUAUACUGGAACUCUAGUAUUUUAUACUGGAAUUUGGAGUUCCAGUAUACUUUGCUGGAACUCCAGUAUAUUAUACUGGAGCCAGCAAAGUGUACCGGUCCAACAUAAUAUGCUGGAAGUUCAUGCACAAGUACACCGAACUCCAGUAUAUUGUGCUAGACCAGUCUCUGUUACAGUAAAAUAGUGGUUAUUUUUCAAUGACUUGGCAAAUGAUGUCUUUUUUUAAUGUCCAAUCCGAAAACUGCGUAGCCUGUGUUAUUU
rnacentral:lncRNA from 1 species